rnacentral:rRNA from 1 species
CUAUCCUACGGGGCGCAGCAGUGAGGGAUAUUGGGCAAUGGGGGAAACCCUGACCCAGCGACGCCGCGUGAGGGAAGACGGUCUUCGGAUUGUAAACCUCUGUCUUUGGGGACGAAAAAGGACGGUACCCAAGGAGGAAGCUCCGGCUAACUACGUGCCAGCAGCCGCGGUAAUACGUAGGGAGCGAGCGUUGUCCGGAAUUACUGGGUGUAAAGGGCGUGUAGGCGGGGAGGCAAGUCAGAUGUGAAAACCACGGGCUCAACCUGUGGCCUGCAUUUGAAACUGUUUUUCUUGAGUGCUGGAGA